UUAGUGGCGGACGGGUGAGUAACGCGUGGGUAACCUGCCUUACACAGGGGGAUAACACUUAGAAAUAGGUGCUAAAACCGCAUAAGCGCACAGCUUCGCAUGAAGCGGUGUGAAAAACUCCGGUGGUGUAAGAUGGACCCGCGUCUGAUUAGCUGGUUGGCAGGGUAAAGGCCUACCAAGGCGACGAUCAGUAGCCGGCCUGAGAGGGUGAACGGCCACAUUGGGACUGAGACACGGCCCAGACUCCUACGGAAGGCAGCAG
rnacentral:rRNA from 1 species